UUUAAUUAUUUUAUUAAAAAAAGUUUAACUGUCAAUGGGUUAUCGGUAAAAGCAAAAGUCUACGGUUGGUUUUUUUGCUGCAAUUAUUAUAACUGCUAGACUAUAUUAUAUUUUUAAAAAACGUCCGAGCGGAAUGUGAAGAUGAUUAAUAACGAGUUUGUAAUGUGAUUUAAUAAUAUAUUAUAUAUUAUGUAUUAUUUAUAUUAAUAUGUAAUGUGUAAUUAAAUUUGUUGAACAGGAGCAUGGGUGAAGUUUUAAAAGGCCGCGUUUUAAAUGCCGUUAUUUAUUUAUUUAUUAGAUUAUUUGCGUGCGCAUUUACAGUAAUUAGAGUUCUUAAUUUGAAAGUCAGUUUGAUAAUUAAUAUUGUGAUUAAGAGUAGCUGUUUGUUAUGGAAAUCGAUUGUGUUUUGCUGGUAUAUAUAAAUAUUAAUUUUGACAGCAAUGAGGAUGAGGAUUUUUUGAUGUUUAUUAAAAAAUAAUUUCUCUGAUGAGGAUUUCUGAGCUGAGCUUUUGUUGAGCGGGAUACAUUAACAUGGAAACAUCCCGACAUUGAAUACAUAAAUAUGUAUAUGUACAUAAUGUAUUUAGAUUUUUAUUUGUUAUAAUGUCCAACGGAACCGACACUCGGGUUUUUUUUAUUCCGCUCGGUGCCGAAUAGUUUUGUCUUUCAUUACAUAUUAUUUUGUGGUGUAUGUAUUUGUGACAGUCUCGUUGUUGAUUCAAGUCAUACAGACGUUUCAGCGUUACGUGUGUGCGGGCAUAUCAAUUACGAUAGACGAAAUAUUGCUGGCACUGCAUCCCCGAGCUGCUGCUGGCUGACACAUUCAAAGCCUCCCUUCUACGAGACACCAAGAUCGCUUUUAAUGGCCACUGAAGAGCAAAAUAAACUUAAUGGAGUAUGCGAAACCCAUUUCGGGCAACUUUUUAAAUUAUUAUGGUAAAUAUAGAACUUGAAUAAUAAACAUCCGAGUUGUGAUGCUGAAACUGAUUAAACUCGCACGUGAUACCAUCUUAUUUUGCAAAAGGUCAUGACUCGCUUUUAUUUUAUUUUUUUAUUUAUUUUUUGUGUUAAUGCAUUUUGUCGCACUUGACCUUCGGGAAAUUUAAUUUUAAUUUAUCUUUUUUAUAAUUAAAUCAGUGUACGAUUUUGUGGAACUUAGAAAAAAAUUCACUCCUAGAGGGAAUUGAUUUUAAUAUUAAAACUCUGAAUCGGAGUGAAUGCGGCUUAAAAUUAAAUUCACAUGACUCCGAAGUCACUACUGAAGAAAAACUCCCGCCUCACUCCGUACGCAAGCGAUUUUUUUCAAAACUUCAAAACUCCGAAUGUCGGAGAAAAUUUGAAUUUAAAUAAAAUCCGUAUUCACCAAUUUUUUACAGAGUAAUAUUCAAAGUUACAUUCUCAUAUAUUUAUAUAUAUAUAUAUUUUUUUUUUGUAAGCAAAGUAAUAAAGUUUGGUCAUCGUUGGCAUGCAGGAGUCAUAAAGCAUCGAUUGCAAGUAUCGUAAACGUGCAACUCUAAUUGACAGUCGACUUGUAUAUAAAUAUAUUUCUGUUUUACUUUUAUAUAUAUAUAUGUGUGUGGGACAUACGGACGUCCGUUAUUUUCAUACAUGUACGUAUUGUGUUAUUUGAACUCAAAUGACUUGCAGCAAAAGACACUUAUUGCUGCACAAGAAAUAAUAUUACAAUAUAAUAAUUUUUAUUUCAAUAAAUAGAUCAAUUAUUAUUUUUAUUAUUAAUAAAUACAAAGUAUGUCAAUUAAUGGUGGAUGAAAACGUAUUUAUUAUAACAAUAAAUUGAAGUUUGAGCCUGAUAAAGAACAGAUAUAUAUGAAGCUUCAUUGAUUCACCGUCUUCAUUAAUUUAAAGCUGUGUCGAAGACAUAAAGAUACAAUGUGAGCUUAAUCAGUAGAUAAAAUAUAACAGAGUAUAAUGGAAUUGAAUGGAAAUAGAGUAGAAUAAGAAUCUGUAAGGUACAGUAACAUUGACAUUUACAUUAAGGACCACUGAGAAUAUUUUCAUCUGCAUUCCAUAAAAUAUCUUUUAUGUUGUGCCCUUCCUAUUUAUUUUCUCGUUAAGUCUUCAUCAAAAUGCAUUGUAUAUAUCAAUAUCACGUAUAUAUGUUUAAUAAGUAUCACGAGAAUCUAUUAUGAGUAUUAAUAUGUGUGGUCUGUUGUAAUGAACCGUUUGCUUCCAUUAUCGCUAAGUCGAGGCUCUACUUAUAAUUUUCUCUGUAUAGAAUAAAUCAUUUUUUUUAUUAAUAAAAAUAUUUUUUUUUAUACUCAUUGUACGUUGGCUGAAUUUUUGAAGGA